CAGCAGCCGCGGUAAUACGUAGGGUGCGAGCGUUAAUCGGAAUUACUGGGCGUAAAGCGUGCGCAGGCGGUUUUGUAAGACAGGCGUGAUAUCCCCGGGCUCAACCUGGGAAUGGCGCUUGUGACUGCAAAGCUAGAGUGCGGCAGGGGGGGAUGGAAUUCCGCGUGUAGCAGUGAAAUGCGUAGAUAUGCGGAGGAACACCGAUGGCGAAGGCAAUCCCCUGGGCCUGCACUGACGCUCAUGCACGAAAGCGUGGGGAGCAAACAGGAUUAGAUACCCGAGUAGUCCCUGUCUCUUAUAC
rnacentral:rRNA from 1 species